CAGACAUCAAGUUAGAUAUCUCAGCCAAGUCCUGCAAAGUGGACGAAAAGUGCGACGUUGGUGAAACAGCAUAUACCUGCGAAGGCUGCGAGUACAAGGGUGUGAAGUGCAACGGUGCUGACGCUGCCGCUGAUAAAGUCAAGGCCGAUGCGGCGGCUAAGAAGAUCACUUACGCUUUUGAGAAGUUCGCAGAUACAGACGCUUGUGUGUAUAUGGGACAGUUUGAUGUAAGCGGCAAAGAGCACAGCCAACCAGUAGCUGUUAUAGAGAUUUAAUUUUCAGAUAUUACAAUCGAGGUACAAAAGAAGACUGCAAAACCAGACGAAGCAUUUAAUGAGAAAAUCACAUUUAAGACUGAAAAGGAAGUCGAUGUAGAGGAGGUCCAUGUUAACGGGAAAGUUGUGCCAAAGAAUGCAGAUGAUGGUUUUCAGGUGGACAUGCAAGGAAAGACCAUAAUAGUCAAAAUUCCCAAAAUGUCCGCGGACUUCGCAGGCCACUACCAAGCCAAGUUCAAGGACGGAGAUGCGACCGUCACCAAGAAUAUUCUGGAGGUCACGCUGUAAG